rnacentral:lncRNA from 1 species
GAUAUGUCUGUCCGACAGUUUAUCCAUAUCUUAAGCAGCAGGCUUCACUUGACCUCGGGGAAAGCUCUUUUUGUUUUUGUGAAGAACACUUUACCUCAAACAGGUAAAGAGCGUGUUGUCAUCCAUUUGACCAGUACAAUUUAGCGCAUGCAUCAUAUUUUCGGAGCCACUUCAACACUUUAUUAUGUGUGUUUCUUUACAGCCAGUCACUUGGAUUCCAUCUAUGAAACUUACAAGGAGGAUAACGGUUUCCUGGAUGUGUUACAGCAGCGAGAAAACAUUUGGCUAAUCUUGCCAUCCCCUCCCCUAAUUAUCUAAUCGCCUCGUCCAUCUCAGUGACUUGUAAGUAUUGAUUGUUAACUUGUUCUCUAUCAGAACGGGCCUGUGAGGCCCGCUUCACUCUGUAUUUUCAUGUUCUUUGUAUAUUUGAUUCAUUGUGAAUUCGGUAAAGUUCGCAACUUUUAAUAAAUGCAACAUUUACCAAAUUCAAUAUUGUCUCAUUUAUCUUUCCUGUCCCAAUAUAUUUCCAAACUUUUCCUCCUUAAACUACCAAAUUGAAGUUCAACGAAAAAAAAAAAGGAUUUUCUACGAUGCCCCAGAGUAUGGGAUACUCCGGGUGCUUUAACCGUUUAGAUAUUUGUUUAAAAAUAAAGAAAUCAAAAUCUAACGAUUAAAAAGUCCGGAGUACUCUAUGCUCUCAAGCAACAUGGAAGGAAAAAUGAAUCCGAAAACAAAGAAAGGUAUAUGAAGAGCAGACGAUGAUGUAUUUAUUCACCACGUAGUCACAAACGAUACAAUGGUAUUCACAAGUGAAAUGAAUGUGUUUUUAACACCUUAUUCGACUGUCUUUACUAUUUUACACCCCCAAAGUUUCACACAUCAUGAAUUUUGAACUAUUUUACUAUUUGGCUACAGUGCAUCAGUAAUUCCAUGGAUAGCGACGUCUGCCUCCACAAUGCAAGUAUCAUUCAACACAAUGUAUGCCUGGUUGAAUGAUCCCAGAGUAAUAAAUCUCAUCCAUCCCCUCACCGAAUUUGAGGCACUGAACCAGUGAUUUGCUGCAAUCACCAAAAAGGAUUAUCAGUUCAAUAGUAUAUUGGAAAAAAGGGUAAAAGGGUGACUCCAAGCUAACAGAACUCUCCGGGAAGGAACAUCUAUCGUAAACAACUUUACUCUUACGUUGCAAAGAGUCUGUUUCCACAAGGGUAAAACAUGCAAAUAGAGUUGGCUACAAACUUUUAAUAAAAGAUAUAACUGGAUGACACUAAACAAAUUAAAUUGUUGUCUAUAUACGGUUUAUUGUCCUGUUGCUGAAAACAUUCAGUUGCUUUCUGCUAAAUACUAGAAGUUCAACAUGAGUUUCAACAUUUCAAGAGUGCACCAAAUGGGCAUGCCCCGGACACUGCAGUCUUCAAGUUCAGCACAUUCUUGAAGAAACACUCGAAUGUUUUCAGAAAAUGGACAGUGAGGAUGACUGAUUGGGCUACCUGAAUCCCAAAACAAAUUAAACCCUAAAAUCUUUCGCUACGACAAACCUACAAUUGUGAACAUUUUCAGUAGGUUGCAAUCAUAAAUUCUCGAUAUUGGCUUUCCACUGAACGCAGGUUCAACAGUAAGUAUCACCAACAUGGUACGCCAUCACGACUCAAACACCUCCAAGAACUAGAUUCUCAUCGUAGUUCGUGGUGGGAUUUUAGCAUGAUGGCGGCAAUAAAACCACCCUUAAAUUUUGAAUGUUUGUUAGAUGUUCUAAUCCUUUUUGCUCGUAUGAUUAUGUAGCAGUAGGAUUAGGCAAAAUCUUUACCUUUACUGGAGAGAUGAUACUCGCCCCACUUCUGAUCUAGGAUCCGCAGGGUAAACUCUGCAUAUAUUUUAUAGCCAGGAGGAAGAGAUUUCGGUUCAGCUAACGCCAGAAAAAAAGCAAGAUGGGUUCCAACUCCAUUGCCCUUUCCCUUGGGAUAGAGCUGCAUCUUCCUGCAACAACCACCAUCACAUUUACAACACUUUCAGAUAAACUGCGCUUAAGUUUUUGAUAUCUUCGAGAGAAAUUUCUUAUACCAAGAGCGAAGUCUAACAAGUUUAGUGUUAUAUAUAUACCAUUUCUGGUCUCCAGCAAUGAAUGUUUUUGAGUCGUAGGAUUCCGCAUCUAGCUUUGAUACGUUGUCAAUCCUCCAAGUAUUCUUGUACAUAACAGGAUCCUUUACCAUUGAUAGACGUUCUCCUUUGCCUUCGCUUCUCUCUUUAGAAACAAAGACCUCUGCUCCCAACACACAAGUGUCAUCUAUGAGAAAUCCAUUUGAAGCUUGAGUGAAAGCUUUGUGGGAGAGAAAUUGAUCGAAUCCCCAAUCGAGUUUCAUCCCAUGAAACCGCCUUUCCUUUGGUUCUGAGCAAUGCAUAUUUAAAAAAGAUUGGAAAAUGAGACGACGCUUCACAAAUAUGAGAACUAUAAGCCCUUUUUAUUGGUUGAGUUAAAAGAAAGAAAUGGUACCUUGAAGAACGAAGUAAUUGCCGUUGUUCUGAUCGAGUAUAAACAACCUGAAAACAGCAGACACUUCCGAAGAAGUCUGGGGAGCAGUUGCCCUAGACAUUACCAAGUAGAGAGAGAUGUGCUCUUUCACAUUCCUGCUCUUGUUUCCAUUCGGAUAGAAAACCAGUUUCCUGCAGCAAAACAGCAAUUUAUAGUACUCAGAUUCAUAUUCCAAAAAAAAGAAGAAAACACUAGCAAUUAUCGCAAAGCUAAUGAGAAAAAGAACAGUAAGAACCUAUGCUCAGAAAUAGAGAGAAAGGAUUGUACCAUUUGUAUCCUCCGGCUUCAAAGUCCCCAGAUUCAUAUUUCUCCAUGUUAUGUUUGGUGAGCAACGAAAUCGAUUGUACUUUUACUGUGUAAUGGGUUGGUGGUGCAUCCGAAAUAGUUCUCAGUAUCCCUGAAAAGAAACGUGUACAUUAGCUACUAAUUUCCAACUUCAACACACUCAAGCAAACAGAUAAAGUAUCUUACCAUCUUGGUCAUCGAAGUUGAGACUCGUCAUAUCAACAAACUUGAUUUUCCGAUAAUUCAAUACAAGUUACAAAGGAUUCAACCGGGGUUUCUGUUCUAGAACCAAAUAUGUUUUCCUGCUUAUAAGGAAAAAUUAAAGUGUAUUAUUCCUAACUUGAAAGCUUUUAAGCAUAGAAAUGCUAUGCUUUGCUUCAAAAGGGUUGCCAUUGUUUCAUUUGAAAGGUAUCCAUCACCUGCUUGUAAGGAAAAAUAUAGGUGUUAUUCCUAACUAGAAAGCUUUAAAGGAUAUAAAUGUUGCAGAUGACGCUUUGCCGCAGUGGCGGAAAGCAAUCAUGCCUAUGCGCCUUGGUGCGGGUUUGAUCUCUACCCAUCCCCUCCCCCUGAACACUAACAAUUGAACCUAGCAACGCUAUUGUUUGUCAAGAAAAAAAAAAGGAUAGAAUAGAACCGUCAUGCUUUGCUUCAAAGGGUUGCCUUUUUUCAUUGAAAAGGUAUCCAUCACCUGGUUUAGGUGCUUCAAAACACAUAUUCUCCAAAAAUUAGAAAUCAAUUAAAUGGCUUGGAUCGAUGAACAUAUGUUUCUAAAUAAAAAUCCAAAUAUUUAUCAAAUUAGCUUAUUAGCAGACUGAUGCAUACUUACAUAUAUAUAUAUAUAUAUAUAUAUAUUUAUAUAUAGGCUAAAAGGCUUUUUAUUCAAAAUGGUCCAUGAGAUUUGCAUAAUUCAUAAGUUUGGUCCCUGAGAUUUAAAAUCAAUAGAAAUAGGCCCUGAGAUUGUCCACCAUCCAUGAUUUUGGUCCUUCCGCUGAAGCUUUUGGCCGGAAGUUUGGGCAAUUUUCAAAGGUUCGUAACUUAAUCGUUUCUUAACCAAAUUCGACCCAUAAUAUAUCAAAAUGAAGAUAGGAAAGUGUAGAAUAAGAUUAUAUCUAUUUGGAAUCCCAAUGAUUGCCGGAGAUGGUCAGAAAAUAGCCUCAAAGUUGACUGUUCCGAGGGAAAACUGGAAAACUUGCCAGAAACUCGCCGAAAACUGGGUAAACUUUAAACGUUCAUAACUUCUUCAAUAGUCAACGAAAUCAAGUCAUUCAAAAACGAAAAUCAUACUUCUCAACGAGAAGAAGAGAAUGGUAUCUUUUUCAAUGGCUAAUUAACCGUGGUUUGGCUGGAAAACGGCUCGAACGUGGCUGUCGAAAAACGAGUAAGCAACUUUCGAGCCGUUUUUCGGCCAAACCACGGAGAUUUAGCCAUUUAAAAAGGUACCAUUCUCUUCUUCUCAUUGAAAAGUAUGAUUUUUGUUUUUGAAUCACGUAAUUUCGUUGCGUAUUGAAGAAGUUAUGAACGUUUAAAGUUUACCCAGUUUCCGACGAGUUUUCCAGUUUUCCCUCGGACCAGUCAAUUUAGAGGCUAUUUUCCGACCAUCUUCGGAAACCAUUGGGCUUCCAAAUAGAUAUAAUCUUAUUCUAUACUUUCCUAUCUUCAUUUUGAUAUAUUACGGGUCGAAUUUGGUUAAGAAACGAUUCAGUUACGAAGCUUUGAAAAUUGCCCAAACUUCCGGCCAAAAGCUUCAGCGGAAGGACAAAAAUCAUGGAUGGUGGACAAUCUCAGGGACUACUUCUAUUGAUUUUAAAUCUCAGGGACCAAACUUACGGAUGAUGCAAAUCUUAGGGAUCAUUUUGAAUAAAAAGCCUUAUAUAUAUGUAUGUAUGUAUGUAUGUAUACAAUAAUAUUAUUAACCUACGACCAUGCAUGAUUCUUGUAAUAGAUUGACGGUCAAAUAAUUGGGAGACAUCCCAUAUAUUCAUAAAUAAUAUUGCCGUUAAUACAAAAAUUCAUGUUAAAUGUAUUUAUAACGGUAUUUAAUUGUUAGAAAAAGAAAAUUAUGACAAAUUUCUUUUUAAUUUUCAAGUUGUUAAAAAAAUAGGUAGACGGGUGAAAAAAAGAGAGUAAACGGGUUAAAAAUGGGUAAAGGGGUACGCGGUUAUGGUUAAAUGGGUAUGCGGUUAUGAGUAUGGUUAACCGUUUAUAAACGGUUAUGGGUAUGAGUAUACCCGUUUAUGUAAAUACCCAACGGGUAAACGGUUAUGCGGGUAAAAGCUUUAACGGUUAUGGGAAAAUAACCGCAGUUACCCGCCCGACAUAACCGUUGCCCAUCUCUAGUUUAGCAUUGUCAAGGAGGUUAAGAUUACACAAACAAAACAAAGUUUCGGCUAUAGACAAGAGAUGUUAGUCGUAUGACAUUACUGGUCAAGACCCGGUAUAUUUGGCGCUCAACCAUAUUUUUGAGCAAAAAAUGCAUUUCAAUCAUUUUUGAAACAAAAGCACAAACUUGAGCCCAACAUAAAUUCAAAGAUAAAAAUGCCUUUCAACCACAUGUCAUUUGGUGGGAAAGGAUUGCUGCUCUAGAGUUCUAUAGAAGCGCAACAUUUAGUACAAACCAUAUCGUGGACGCAGAACUUUCAUUCAUAUUCAAAGUCAGUUAACAUCAUUUUAGCAACAUUGAAACUGAAGACAAGCAGACUGCAGUGCUUUUGCAGCUCCGAGGACAGUGACAUUGGCCUCCACUAUGCAAGUAUCAUUCAACAAAAACCCCUUGCCUGCAUGUUUGAAAGUGUCCAGUGGAAUGAAACAAGACCAACCAAAACUUUAAUCCGCGGCACUGAACCAGCGACUAGCUACACGGACACGGAAUAAAUCCUCAUGUUAUAUGGGACUAUAUACAUAAUUAAACAUUGAAAGAGGACAAAUUUACCUUCAGAAGACUUGUUCAAGGAAGGGAUUUAUCUACAAUGCGCAGGGAAAACUCAGCAAACACUUUAGAAUCACGAAGGUCUUCUGAACCAUCCAAUUCCAAGUAAAGUGAAAUAUGAGUACCCUUCUCAUCAUAAUUUCCUUUCGGACAGAGCUGAAUCUUCCUCCAGCGACCAUCAGAAGAGGUAUAUGAGAACAUUUCAAGAUUCCAUUAACCUUUCAAGUUUAAUAAAAAGGAGCAGUUUUUUACAUUAGAAGCAAAACUACAACUUGACACCUUAAGGGAUAAUGUAAACAUUAUGUACGUACAAAUUGCAUAUGUAGUUCAAACCUCUGAAAGUAUAUCCAUCUCUUUUCAGUUAGCUGAAAAUUGACUUCAGCAAAGAAAAGGUAUUGAUAAGAUAGUAAAUUGAAAACCUAUUGGAGAUACGAUUUCUGGUCUUCAGCAAUUAAGAGUUGUGAGUAUUAACUCUCAGCAUCUAACAUUGAAAAUUUUUCAACCUUCCAAACAUGCUUGCACUUAACAGCAUCCUUGAUCAUUGAUAGACGCUCUCCAUUUCCUAUUCUUCUUUCUUUACAAACAAAAAUGUCCGCUCCAAAUACACCUCUUCCAUGAGAUAUCCGUGUUGAAUUGUAAUCUUGUCUUGGCCCAAGACAAUUGAUCCGGCCCAUACACAAAGAAAGAUCCAUGCACAUGCUAGAGAGUUCUAGCAAAGUUCAAGUUGGUGGAAUGCAUGCAUAAAUAUCUAAGGCUUUUUGUGGAAAGAUCUAGAAUCUUGUAAAAAUGUGUGGUUGUUAAGCAUUAGCUAGAAAGUUCUAGCAAUGCCAAAGUUGGCAAACCUUGCCUAUAAAUAGGUGAGGUGCUAAGCUAUGUGAUGUAACAACCAAGAGAGGAGUGAGAAAAAGAGUGAAGUGAGGAGUAAGAAGUGAGAAGAAGUAACAAAGCUUCUAAGAGUGAGUGUUUCCUCUUGUACUAAGUUUGUGUGAGAAUAAAAAUUGUGUAAUACUUUGAGUGUUUUUUCUUUCUCUUGCCUAUCAAAUUCCGUUGCGUCAUACUCUUCUUUGUGAGAUAAACAUCUCCAAAGUAGUGAAGCAUUUUUAAACCCCAACAAAGUGGUACCAGAGCUAUGGCUAGCAACACUAUGGCAGCCUUCCAAGUUCCAGUGCUCGACAACAACAACUUCGAUAAUUGGAGUAUCAAAAUGAAGGCCCUUUUGGGAGCACAUGAUGUAUGGGAAGUCAUGGAGAAAGGCUACAUUGAGCCAGAAGAUGAAGCUUGUUACAACCACCCCCAAAACAAUUGUAAUAUUUGUUAUUUUCACCCCUAAGCUGCCACGUGUCAGCCAUCUAACCCUCUCUUUUCUCUCUUUCUGGCCCCCCUGUGAUCUCUCUCUUCUUCUUCUUCGUCUCUCUCUCCCGUAGCUCUCUCAACUCUCCCGUGUAUCUCUCUCUCCCUCAACCUCUCGCAUCUCUCUUCUUCUGGACUCACGAAGAUCAUAUCACCAACAGGAGAGACUCACAACGAACCCAGGAUCCCUGCCCUGUGAACUCGACUGCACGGAGCAAAGCUCCGGCGAGAUUUCUUUCUUUUUUCCUGUCAGGUAAGUCUCGAAUCCCUCGUUCUCAUACCUAGCAUGAUGCUUGGUUGUGUUUUAGGAGCUUGAUCCUUCCAUUUUUACGUAGGUUUUGCCUCGGGAUCGUGUUGGGUGGAGCACACCCGUUUUCCGGCGAACCCGUGCACUUCGAGGGCUUUUCCGGUCACCUCCGACCGAGUUACGGUGUUUGGAAGGUAGAAACCUUUUCCUCUCUCCUUGUUCUUCAUGGUUGUACUUAGAUCGGAGCUUGAAGCUCUAGUUUUCAGGUGACCGGAGCUGUAGCAGCUCCGGCCUUCUUCUUCCUCGGCAGCAGGCCAUUCGGCCUUUUUUUCCCUCCCCCUCGGGCCUUAGGCCCGUGUUGUCUUAAGCCCAAAACCCUAGCCCCCUUUAGUUUUUAAGUUUUUUUCAUUGUUUUUAAAACCCUAUAAGGCCUCGGGCCUUAUAUAUAAUUGGCCUUGGGCCGGUUCCUUUUAAAGGGCUUAAAGCCCUGUUCUUUAUUAAGGCCUUAGGGCCUUUGUGGUAAGUGUGUGUGUGUGUGUUUAGGCAUGUGUGUGUGUGUGUGUGUGUGUGUGUGUGUGUGUGUUAUGCAUGCACAUGCAUGCCGUGUGUGUGUGUAUGUGUUUGGGCUAAAGCCCAAACCCCAAUUCUCACCCUAAUACCCUUUUAACCCAAAAACCCUAGGUUCCUAAAAUCCUUUAAACCCUAAACCCUAAUCGGCUCAAACCCUUUAUGUGGAAUAUUCUGUUAGGGAAUAUUUCAUUAGAAAAUAUUUCGUCAGGGAAUAUUCUAGGAAUAUUCUAUUGACUUUUACAGAAUUUAUCCGGGACCCUUCUUAGGGUAAUUCGACUUUCUGAAUCCGUUUCCAACGUCUGUUUUCCCAAAUUCAAUUGUUAAAAUAGAGUUUUAUUAAUUGGACCCUUUAUGUGCUUAGGGGCAAUUAUUGGUGACGUUUUCUUGUUCGUUAGUUUGCGUGGCUCUUCGGCGGCUAAGUACUGUGAGUGGACCCCUUCUAAAAUGCAUGUUUUAUAGUAGAAAUGCAUACAUGAAAAGCAUGAUUUGAUGAUUACGUUUUAUGAAACGUUUUGUGAGAUAACAUGCUUACUGAGGCUACUUUGAAUUAUUACUAUUUUUCCUAUAACCCGUGUUCUUAUAGAAUAUCUGAUGGAUGACGAUAUGAUAUUUAGAACAUGUUUCGAACACCUCUUUAUAGUAUAGAUGAUGGAUGACUUUAUACUAUGAAGUUGUUUUUCAAUAUAUAUAUGUUCAAUGGUUUUGUACUUACCUAGUGGUCCUUUCCGCUACGGGACAUAGGGAUAGAUUCCGGUCCAUCCCGGGCGACGGUUUGGUGUUGGCAUAGGGCCUGGAGUGUGUUUCCUCUGGCUAUUUAGCACAGGGACGGGGAGCCGGCAUGGGGCCUGAAGUGUAUUUUCCUCUAACUGUCUGCUCAGAGACGGGGAGCCAGCAUGGGGCUUGGGGGUUAUCGGACAAUUCACUAGUGAUUAUUAUAUAUGAGUUAUGAUUUGAGACAUUGCACGGCAUGCUAGGUUUCGGAAAACCUAUGUUUAACAUUAUAUAUGUGUUUUCAUAAAACCUGGGGGUUAGUACGUUGAUAACUGUUUUAUUAUAUAUAUAUCAACUUGGUCCACUCAUGUUUGUUUUGCGCCCCCUUCAGGACUUAGAAUCGAGGCAUACAAUUCCGGCAUCAAGGCACUUCCGCAUCGGCAUCUUCGAGUCCUCUUGGUGUGGGACCCAUUCUUUUAUUCAUUCAAUUUUAUAUUAUUUCUUUUAGUAUUCUAGUUAGUCGUAUGCUCUGAACACGUUCAUUAAAUGCAUAUUCUUUAUUCUUUUAUAUUUAUAUAUCUUAUCUAUUCCUUGUUUUCAGCAAUUGCACUCAAUAAAUGGCUUUCGUCACCCUCGGGUGUCGGCCAGCACGUGCCUAUCCUGGUAUUCGGGGAAAUAUCAGGAUCGGGGCGUGUCAAAGCUACUUUGUCCCAACCCCAAAAUGAGAGUUUGAAAGAUUAAAGAAAAAGAGACAAGAAGGCUCUCUACCUCAUCUACCAAGCAUUAGAUGACAAUGGCUUUGAGAAGGUCUCGAGUGCAACCUCUGCCAAGCAAGCAUGGGAGAAGCUUCAAACCUCUUACAAAGGAGCCGAACAAGUGAAAAAGGUUCGUCUUCAAGUAUUAAGUGGUGAGUUUGAAUCUCUACAAAUGAAAGGGUCUGAAGUAAUCUCUGAUUAUUUCUCAAGAGUCUUAGCCGUUUCCAAUCAAUUAAAAGAAAUGGAGAAAAGUUAGAAGAUGUUAGAAUUAUGGAGAAGAUACUACGCUCGUUGGCCCAAGUUCGAGCAUAUUGUCGUGACAAUUGAAGAAACUAAAAACUUGGAAGAAAUUAGUAUAGAGCAAUUAAUGGGUUCGCUACAAGCAUAUGAAGAGAAACAUAAGAAGAGGCAAGGAAAUGAUGAGCAGUUCCUCAAGACGCAUGUCCAGCCAAAGAAGAAAGAAGAAAACUUCAACAACGAGAUAAGCCAGUACAGAAGAAGUCGUGGCCGAGGUCGCGGACGUGAACAUGGGCGUGGAUGUGGUUGGAACUUCAACAACCAUAACAACUACGAAAGAAGAGAAAGCUUAACAAAAGGUCAUGGAAGAGGAUGCUCAAACUUGAGGUAUGAAAAUCUCAAGUUCAAUGUUAUAAUUGUCAAAGUUCGGGCAUUAUGCUUGGGAAUGUAGAGCUCCAAACAUCAGACUUGAUGAGAAGGUCAAUUAUGUGAAAGAAGAGAAAGAAGAGAAUGGCGUUGUAAGUAUCUUUGAUGUGCACAAAACAGUGCCCUACACACGCCCGCCCCGAAGGCAAUACAGUGACCACUAGAUACACACAAAACCAUUGAACAUAGUCUUUCUAAAACAUAGGUACAUAUAUUUCAAAAGCAUCUUCAUAGUAUAAAGUCAUCCAUCAUCUAUACUAUAAAGAAGGGUGUGAAAACAUGUUCUAAAUAGUAUAUCGUCAUUCAUCAGAAACCCUACAAAGAACAUGGGUUCGAUAGAAAAUAUGGUAUUCCAAAAUAUUCUAAGUAAGCAUAAUAUCUUAUAAAACGUAAUCAAUAAAUCCUGAUUUUCAUGUAUGCAUUUCUACUAUUUAAAACUUGCAAUUUAGAAGGGGUCAACUCAUAGAUACUCCAUCAUCGUAAAGCGGUACGAAAUUGGAAUGUCCAUGAUGAUAUUUGAUAGUGCGGUCAUAAUCACUGAUGAGUUCCAUCCAUCUUCUCUGCCUCAAAUUAAAAUCAUCCGUAGUGAAGACAUGUUUUAGGCUCUUGUGAUCAGUGAAGAUGCGGCACUUUUCGCCGUACAAGUAGUGUCUCCAGAUCUUUAGGGCAAAAACUACUGCUCCAAACUCCAGAUCAUGAGUGGGGUAGUUGCUUUCGUGAUUCCCGUUUAUGCUCCUGAAAACUCUGUUCACAAAUCUCAUCCCACUCGAACUUGACCCCCUUACGAGUCAACUUAGUAAGAGGCAGGAAGAUUACCCAUAAGUCUUGUACAAAACAUCUGUAAUAGCUAACCAGACCUAGAAAACUUCUCACUUCAGUAACGUUUCUCGGUUGCUCCCAAGUAGACACUGCUGAAACCUUUUGAGCGUCCACACUAAUUCCCUCAGCACACACUACAUGUCCGAGAAAACUAAUCUGGUUAAGCCAAAACUGACAUUUACUGAACUUAGGAUACAACUGAUUGCUUCUUAACCUUUCUAGCACCACCCGCAGAUGCUUCUUGUGCUCAGCAACACUUUUGGAAUAAAUUAGAAUGUCGUCAAUAAACACAAUCAUAAACCGAUCCAGAUACAGUCUGAAGACUCUGUUCAUCAAAUCCAUAAAUGUUGCAAGUUCAUUUGUUAAUCCAAAAGGCAUGACACGGAACUCAUAGUGUCCAUACCUAGUGCGGAAUGCAGUCUUCGUCACAUCUUCUUCACGGAUAAGUAAUUGAUGAUAACCUGAGCAAAGACAGAUCUUAGAGAAUACAUGUGCACCCUUCAGCUGGUCGAACAGGUCAUCGAUCUGAGGUAGAGGAUAACGGUUCUUCACCGUCACUCGAUUCAACUGUCUAUGUCACAUCCUAGAUCGGCUGUGCCAUAGCACGAUAUUGUCCGCUUUUGGCUCACCAUAUCUUAAGCAGUAGGCUUCACUUGACCCCGGGGAAAGCUCUUUUUGUUUUUUUGAAGAACACUUUACCUCAAACAGGUAAAGAGCGUGUUGUCAUCCAUUCGACCAGUACAAUUUAGCGCAUGCAUCAUGUUUUCGGAGCCACUUUAACACUUAAUUAUGUGUAUUUCUUUACAACCAGUCGCUUGUGUUGAUGCACAAAAUCAGCGAAAACUUUGGUACAACAGAAAGUGUCAGGUUUUGUGACCUUCGCUUGGUUACUUCGGUCACUGGUGAGGAUAAGU